AUCAUCAAGAACAAGUAGAACCUUUUUUCUGCAUAAAGAGUUUUGUAUUGUUUUUUUCCCAUCAUACAAAUCAUGAAAAUCAUUCCUACUUAUACUCAGAUGAGAAAGAAGUUGUCUUUGUAAGUGAACUAAA
rnacentral:pre_miRNA from 1 species